CAAAUUCACAUCAAUGCCUUUCUUUACAAUAUGAAAUAUUUGUUUAAAGUCGCAGUAUUUUUAUAACCACAUACAGAGUUUUGUUCAUGAAACAGGUUGAAAUGUCUGUUCAGUGGACAGGAAAUAAAACCCACCAACUGCUGCGGUCAAAGCUGCUGCUGCUGCUGUGAAGUUUGUGUAAAAAGGGAAGGAAACACACAGCUAUACUGAGAAGCAUAAAACAUGCUGGUGUCAUUUAUGUGUGACAGAUGUAACGUCUUCAUACUUAUAGAUAAAACAACGUAGAAACCUUUCUGAUGAGCAGAAGGUCUGGAUGUGAGGAUGGAGAACGCUCUGCUCUGCAUGCUGGGAUUUUUCUUUCUCAGUAAUCUCAUCUAUGUAAAUGCUGAAGAUCCGAGUGAAUCAGGAAAUAAAGAUGAUAAUCAGGAAAGAGACGCG